GACGAACGCUGGCGGCGUGCCUAAUACAUGCAAGUAGAACGCUGAAGAGAGGAGCUUGCUCUUCUUGGAUGAGUUGCGAACGGGUGAGUAACGCGUAGGUAACCUGCCUUGUAGCGGGGGAUAACUAUUGGAAACGAUAGCUAAUACCGCAUAACAAUGGAUGACACAUGUCAUUUAUUUGAAAGGGGCAAUUGCUCCACUACAAGAUGGACCUGCGUUGUAUUAGCUAGUAGGUGAGGUAAUGGCUCACCUAGGCGACGAUACAUAGCCGACCUGAGAGGGUGAUCGGCCACACUGGGACUGAGACACGGCCCAGACUCCUACGGGAGGCAGCAGUAGGGAAUCUUCGGCAAUGGGGGCAACCCUGACCGAGCAACGCCGCGUGAGUGAAGAAGGUUUUCGGAUCGUAAAGCUCUGCUGUAAGUCAAGAACGGGUGUGAGAGUGGAAAGUUCACACUGUGACGGUAGCUUACCAGAAAGAGACGGCUAACUACGUG
rnacentral:rRNA from 1 species